UUUGAUCUUGGUGUUUGUCUGCAGAGUUUUUCCAUUCUUUAAUCGGUGUGAACUGGCAGAUGCACUGAGACCGAGCAGUUGCUUUUUCUUCCAGCCUAAGCAGAGUAGCCUGUGCCAAGCCCGUCCCACACCGGUGAGCAAGGCCAGACUAUUAAACGUCUCUUGGAGCUGGCUGUCAGUCUGGAGCAUGCCUCCUGCCACUCUGGCACAGCCCUCUCACUCAUGGUUGGAUUCCAUAGCUGGUGCAAUUGAACCAGGUCCUUUAGUGAAGGACAGUGGAUGCCUUCUCAACUUACUUUUGAACUUGGAAAAAUUAAGAAGAGGUUUGGGGGGGUUUUUUGGAUGCCUCUAUGAGGUCUUCUUACAAAGAUGGAGCUGACAACCUGCUGCGACACAGAUGGGACAAAAUGAACCAUGAGAUGUGUUUGAGGCUGAAAUAAAUUGGCAGAGGACGGAUGGAUGAGCCGGUGACCUGUAGGUCGUAUGUGGCGAUAGUGGAGCAGUAUCCAAAUUACAAAGUUUUU